AUUCUAAACUCAGAAAUAUGAUAUCCUUGACAGGUUCUGGAAACCAGGACCCAGUAGUCUUCAUAUGUCAAGCACUGGGCAUUCUCCCACCACUUCUCCCUGAAAUUGAACCACAGAAAGAAAGCAGGAAUGAAAGAAGCUACAAGGAAUCCUCAGGGCUUCGUGCUUCCAUCCUACCAGUGUGUAGGUCACACUGAGAGAUUUUGGUGGUUCUGAAUUCCUCAAGAUUACACAGUUAUGGAACUAGUCUGUAGCCAAAAGUGACUCCCACAAGGAUGUACUGCGACCCUGAAUUCAGACAUAACUUUCGUUGGAAUUUGGAGACAGUAGAAUAAGAGGCAAUACAGGAGACGACAGCCAGGAUUGAAAAAUAAAAGGAGUAACUAGGUCUAAAACAGUCUUGGAUCAUCCUGCAAGCAGGGAAAUAUGCAAAAUAUUGCAUUGUUGAAAGAGAAGGUACAAUCAAUUCUAAUUUAAUAAACAUCCUUGGACUGUUAGACCUGCUCUACCACCACUAUUGCUGGCAUUCCUCUAAGACUAGCAAUACUCACUGGAAGGUUUAUAAUUAAGAAAUUUCAGAUUCUAGCUCUUUGGGGACUAGGAGCUCCACAGAUGUCCUUCCAGAUAUAAAGUUUCACCUGUUUUCAACUCAUGAGCUAAGACAUUGAGAGCUCAAUCGGCACUUGAGAAAGUCUGAGCCUUGCGGACAGAAGCUUCCUGUAGACAGCUGCCACUAACACACAUAAUCGCACUUCACUCUCAAGCUCUUCAAGAUGCUGACUAUAAACAGGAAUGAUGAAGAGAGGCUGUAAGAGCAUCAAGGUUUGGCCCUGAGCCACAAGACUGGCAUGUGCUGCCAUCGCCUGGGCUGAGCACACAGGUGUCAGUUAAGGAGUGUGGCUCAGGAUGGCCUCCUGAAAUUUCCUGCAGGGAUUUUUCUUGUCCAAUUCCAUUGAAAUUAAAUUGAAAAAAAAAUAGUGUCUUGGCUGCAGUAAAGGGGGUGCUAUUACAAUAGGCUCAGGAAUAACUUAGGGAUAGUGUGAAGUGCCGGACCCCAUCAGCAUCCCACCUGGCAUGCCCAGAAAGCUCUUAUGAGACUCAUCA